rnacentral:rRNA from 1 species
AACGAACGCUGGCGGCAGGCCUAACACAUGCAAGUCGAACGAGAUGCGCUUCUUCGGAGGUGUAUUCUAGUGGCGGACGGGUGCGUAACACGUGGGAAUCUACCUUAUAGUGGGGGAUAACUUCUGGAAACGGGAGCUAAUACCGCAUACGCCCUUCGGGGGAAAGAUUUAUCGCUAUAAGAUGAGCCCGCGGUGGAUUAGAUAGUUGGUGAGGUAAAGGCUCACCAAGUCUACGAUCUAUAGCUGGUCUGAGAGGAUGACCAGCCACACUGGGACUGAGACACGGCCCAG